rnacentral:rRNA from 1 species
CUUGGUCAUUUAGAGGAAGUAAAAGUCGUAACAAGGUUUCCGUAGGUGAACCUGCGGAAGGAUCAUUAUCGUAUAAUCGAGCCACUGGGGCUGUCGCUGACCUUUGAAAAGGUCGUGCACGCUCCCGUGCACUCACACAAUCCAUCACACCCUUUGUGCAUCACCGUGUGGAUGCUAUCCUUUUGGUUCAUUCUGAAAGGGAGUGUCUGCACUUUUACACAGACCCAUUGCAUGUUUAGAAUGUCUUACUAUUUGCAAUAAUAUGCAAUCAAUACAACUUUCAACAACGGAUCUCUUGGCUCUCGCAUCGAUGAAGAACGCAGCGAAAUGCGAUACGUAAUGUGAAUUGCAGAAUUCAGUGAAUCAUCGAAUCUUUGAACGCACCUUGCGCCCCUUGGAAUUCCGAGGGGCACACCCGUUUGAGUGUCGUGAAUAUCCUUCAACCUUUCUUUGGUUUCUCAACUAAAGGGAGGCUUGGACUUUGGGGGUUUUUCAUUGCUGGCCUCACUUGAAGCCAGCUCCUCCUAAAUGGAUUAGUGGGGUCUACUUUGCAAAUCCUAGACGUGAUAAGAUGUUUCUACGUCUUGGGUUUUGCACUGUUGCUUUGGACUCUGCUUCUAACCGUCUUGCAUUCAGGGCAGUUUAUGAACCUUGACCUCAAAUCGGGUGAGACUACCCGCUGAACUUAAGCAUAUCAAUAAGCGGAGGA